rnacentral:rRNA from 1 species
UACGUAGGGGGCAAGCGUUGUCCGGAUUUAUUGGGCGUAAAGAGCGUGUAGGCGGCCAUACAGGUCAGCUGUGAAAACUCGAGGCUCAACCUCGAGACGUCGGUUGAAACCGUAUGGCUAGAGUCCGGAAGAGGAGAGUGGAAUUCCCGGUGUAGCGGUUAAAUGCGCAGAUAUCGGGAAGAACACCCGUGGCGAAGGCGGCUCUCUGGGACGGUACUGACGCUGAGACGCGAAAGCGUGGGGAGCGAACAGG